rnacentral:lncRNA from 1 species
AUGGUAACUUGUUACACCAAACGGACUCAAAGUCGCCCUCUAGCGUGUAAACAGAGAGCUUCAGAGAGAAGCCAACCAACAGAAACCAGGCGCAGGAGUAAGAAAGCAUCAAGAUGCAGAGGACACAGGAGGAGCAGCAUCUGCACGGUCGGCAGAGGACAGAGAGAGUCAGCUGUUAAACAUCAAAAGCACACCGCUGGAUAGAACCAUGGACACCCUACGUGAUUCUUUUAGCAACAAAUUCUCAGAAAUUCUCAGAGCUAUAGACAAGGUCUUCAGUGAUUCCCAAGGAACCCCUGGGUGAGUGACAUUUCCGACCUAGUCCUUUCUCAACUACAGCUGUCCCAAUUCCCAACUUCUUAAGUAUCACUGGAAGUCUGGGCCCAUCUUUCAGAGAACUAACCACAGACCACUCAAUAGAAUUAGAAACCCUCCUUUGCAACACAAGUUGCAAACAAAACAAGGUUUCUGCAACAGAAAGCAUUCCUGGAAACCUUGGAAAAUAUUAAUCACAUUCUCUUCAUGUGAGUACUUCAUUGCUGUAUCCGUCAUGCAACAUUGUCAAUUACUAACUUGUAUGUUAAUCUUCCGUGUUGACCACGGGCGCCAUGAAAACACAAGUGUCUCUUAUUCUUUCCUUGCCCAGCCAGAGUUCAGCCCAUGUUCCUGAGCUCAUGUAUGAAUGACAAAAGAGUGGAGGAUUGAGGCCCAGCAGAGUGGCUCAUACCUAUAAUCCCAGCACUUUGGGAGGCUGAGGGAGGAGGACUGCUUGAGCCCAGGAGUUUAAGACUAGCCUGGGUAACACAGUGAGAUCCCUGUCUCUAUGAAAAGACAAACUAAAAAUUAGCUGGGCAUGGUGGUAUAUGCCUGUAGUCCCAGCUACUUGGGAGACUGAGGCAGGAGCAUCACUUGAGGCAAGGAGUUUGAGAUCAGUCUGGGCAACAUAGUAAGACCUUAUCUGUAACCAAAAAAAAAAAAAAAAAAAAAAAUUAGCCAGGCAUGGUGGUACGCAACUGUAGCCCUAGCUACAGGGGAAGCUGAAGCAGGAGGAUUGCUUGAGCCCAGGAGUUGGAAGCUGUAGUGAGCUGAUUGCACCACUGCACUCCUGCCUGGGCAACAGAGCAAGACCCUGUCUCAACAAUAACAGAAUAAAAAGAAGAGAGAGAGGGGCAGGAUCUCCUUACAAAUCUGGCAUUGGCAGAAUUAGCAUCAUCUCAUUGUGUUAUUUAGGUGUUUCCUGUAUGGCUCAAGAGCAAUACCUUUAUUGUGAUUCUAUAUCCAAAUAUAUGUACAAUAGCAAGUCAACUGACAAGAUCACCUAGAUUUUUCUAAAUGGACUACAUAUAAUUGUUACUCUUACUAAAGCACACAACCAUCAUGAUUAGUGAACAAUAACCAUGGGGUUCAUCCAUACAAAUAAGUUGCCUUUGCAAAUAGGACCCCCAAAUCCCCAAAUAUAUAUGGGCUAAAGAUACUUUACGGCCGAGCGCGGUGGCUCAAGCCUGUAAUCCCAGCACUUUGGGAGGCUGAGACGGGCAGAUCACGAGGUCAGGAGAUCGAGAUCAUCCUAGCUAACCCGGUGAAACCCCGUCUCUACAAAAAAUACAAAAAACUAG